GGGAUUGCCUCAGUAACGGCGAGCGAAGCGGCAAGCGCUCAGAUUUGAAAUCUGGCUCCUCCGGGGCCCGAGUUGUAAUCUGUAGGGGAUGCUUCGGAGUCGAGCCCGGCCUAAGUUCCUUGGAACAGGACGUCGCAGAGGGUGAGAAUCCCGUACGCGGCCGGUGGGCGCCUCCGUGCGAAGCUCCUCCGACGAGUCGAGUUGUUUGGGAAUGCAGCUCUAAAUGGGAGGUAAAUUUCUUCUAAAGCUAAAUACCGGCCAGAGACCGAUAGCGCACAAGUAGAGUGAUCGAAAGAUGAAAAGCACUUUGGAAAGAGAGUUAAAAAGUACGUGAAAUUGUUGAAAGGGAAGCGCUUGCGACCAGACUCGGCCGCUUCGGUUCAACCCUACCCGCGUAGGGCUCACUCCGUUGCGGUCGGGCCAGCAUCGGUUCGGGCGGCCGUUCAAAGGCGUCGGGAAUGUGGCUCCCCUCGGGGAGUGUUAUAGCCCCUCGCGCAAUGCGGCCCGCCUGGACCGAGGACCGCGCUCCGGCAAGGAUGCUGGCGUAAUGGUUGCAAGCGGCCCGUCUUGAAACACGGACCAAGGAGUCUAACAUCUAUGCGAGUGUUCGGGUGUCAAACCCCUGCGCGCAAUGAAAGUGAACGGAGGUCGGAGCCCUCGGGCGCACGAUCGACCGAUCCUGAUGUCUUCGGAUGGAUUUGAGUAAGAGCAUAAAUGUUGGGACCCGAAAGAUGUGCGAACUAUGCUUGAGUAGGCCGAAGCCAGCGGAAACGCUGGUGGAGGGUCGCAGCGGUUCUGACGUGCAAAUCGAUCGUCAAACUUGAGUAUAGGGGCGAAAGACUAAUCGAGCCAUCUA
rnacentral:rRNA from 1 species